rnacentral:rRNA from 1 species
UACGUAGGGUGCGAGCGUUAAUCGGAAUUACUGGGCGUAAAGCGUGCGCAGGCGGUUUUGUAAGCCGGAUGUGAAAUCCCCAGGCUUAACCUGGGAACUGCAUCCGAUACUGGAUGGCUUGAAUCCGGGAGAGGGAUGCAGAAUUCCAGGUGUAGCGGUGAAAUGCGUAGAUAUCUGGAGGAAUACCGGUGGCGAAGGCGGCAUCCUGGACCGGCAUUGACGCUGAUGAGCGAAAGCUAGGGGAGCAAACGGG